rnacentral:rRNA from 1 species
UACGUAGGGGGCUAGCGUUAUCCGGAAUUACUGGGCGUAAAGGGUGCGUAGGUGGUUUCUUAAGUCAGAGGUGAAAGGCUACGGCUCAACCGUAGUAAGCCUUUGAAACUGGGAAACUUGAGUGCAGGAGAGGAGAGUGGAAUCCCUAGUGUAGUGGUGAAAUGCGUAGAUAUUAGGAGGAACACCAGUGGCGAAGGCGGCUUACUGGACGGCAACUGACGCUGAGGCUCGAAAGCGUGGGGAGCAAACGGG